GACGAACGCUGGCGGCGUGCCUAAUACAUGCAAGUAGAACGCACAGUUUAUACCGUAGCUUGCUACACCAUAGACUGUGAGUUGCGAACGGGUGAGUAACGCGUAGGUAACCUGCCUGGUAGCGGGGGAUAACUAUUGGAAACGAUAGCUAAUACCGCAUAAUAUUAAUUAUUGCAUGAUAAUUAAUUGAAAGGUGCAAUUGCACCACUACCAGAUGGACCUGCGUUGUAUUAGCUAGUAGGUGAGGUAACGGCUCACCUAGGCGACGAUACAUAGCCGACCUGAGGGGGUGAUCGGCCACACUGGGACUGAGACACGGCCCAGACUCCUACGGGAGGCAGCAGUAGGGAAUCUUCGGCAAUGGACGUAAGUCUGACCGAGCAACGCCGCGUGAGUGAAGAAGGUUUUCGGAUCGUAAAGCUCUGUUGUAAGAGAAGAACGGGUGUGAGAGUGGAAAGUUCACACUGUGACGGUAUCUUACCAGAAAGGGACGGCUAACUACGUG
rnacentral:rRNA from 1 species